rnacentral:lncRNA from 1 species
AACUACGACGUUCAUGAUUAUCGUCCUAAACUAAUUUUGAGAUUGCUGUAAGGCCGGGAUUUAUGGAAUUAUGGAAUUUAAACUUGGAUGGAAUUUGAUGUAUUAAGACUAAUUUGAUAGAUUCCAACAUACUGCAUUAUUUGCGAAGGAAAGGUCUCCUAAAGAAUCUAAGUCAAUUACUUCCUAAAGCUCUUUCUUUACUAAAGCUUAACUCCAAUCACUAAAAUUAAUAAAACUCAUGAGUUAAAAGAAUGGGUUCGAAGAAAAUUUGGUGACUAUUAUAUAAAGAUGUUAUAAAGAGGUCUAACUGUAGUAGAACCUAUGCAACGCGAAUUAGAUUUAAUUGGAUUUGGUUUCAGAUAACAAGUGGCUAAAGAAAAAUACAAUACAAUACGGUACAAUAUCAUACAGUCGAAAGACUACAAGACAAGAGGUACAUGUUGACCCCAAGACUUGUUGCAAGUUGCAACAAUAGGAACUACUAACAAAACAAAACACAAACUAAGAGAAAUUAACUAGAGGAAAGUGAAUAGAAUUAUAUUAGGCUAUUCAUAACUUUCCUUUUAUUCUCAAAACUAAACUCACACCAGCACAAGUACAUAGUCUCUGAGGCCUAAUUUUGGUCAUCACAUUUAGGACAUUUGCUGCAAAUCUGGUAUUUACAUGGGCAAAUUUUACAAGCUUUGCCGAAGAUAUUGCCUCCUGGUUUUGGACGUUUUGGUAUCUUCUGAUCAGUAGUGUUGUUUGAAUUCAUUUCUG